CAUCCUUAAUAUAGAGUGUCAAUUCUUCAUUCCACUCAGGAUUCAAGCUAUCUUUCUCAUGACGAGUUUUCAGUUUCUGCAGUAAUUAAAACAAGUUAAAAUAUUCAGACCAAGUACUCACUUUAAACAACAUCAUAAGCCAACAGGGUAUAUUAUUAUGUCUUUUUUU